UGGGCGCGAAAGUGAGUUAUGGCGUCGUCUGCACUCUGCCACUUUUAUUGUUGAAGGUGGUCUGGGCGUGAUGGGCCUGUUGAUAAGCGUGGCCUCACUAGCAAAACGUGUGCAGUCAUCCUGAGUUAAGUUAAUAUUCCUCAAUUUUUAAUUUUCUCUCGAUGUUGCAAAUGUAUCAAUGAUAUCAAUUUUUCCUACAUUUUAAUGUCUUAUCUGUAAUAUUUUAGGUAUGCUGGAUUAGUGCUGGAUAAAAACCUUGUUAAUAAGUUUGCACAUCAUACAUUUACCAACAAACAUGGUAUGGAAUAUUAAAAGUUUUGAUUUUGAUUUUAGAAUUUGAUGGUGUGUUGAUUGGCAAACUUUCAUCUCCUGUCCACAUUUUGGCUUACAGUUCUGGCUUGAAUUGAAUCUUAUCAUAAGGAUGUGUACCCGUUAAUAGGUGGACCAGGAAAUGAGAUGCAAUGGCUCACCUGGCGUGUGUGUGUGGUGAUAGACGAUCAAAUUAUUUUCCUCUUUCGUUUCUAUCUUGAGCAGAGUCAUGCCUGCUUGUUUACAGUAAGUAUCAGCCCUCGUCCAGUUUCUUACCUUUCAAGCAUAAUCAAUAAUAUUCCAUAGCUUAAAUGGUUAUCCUAGUCGGUAAAAGAUAUGCAAAUGCUCUAGGACCACACUUACGAAUUUGGAAAAGCAAUAGCAUUUGUCACUCAGUGUCCAGCAGGGCAUGCUUAUGUUGCCUUGGAGAUA